rnacentral:rRNA from 1 species
AUGAACGCUGGCGGCGUGCCUCAUCCAUGCCAGUCGAGCGAACAGAUAAGGAGCUUGCUCCUUUGACGUUAGCGGCGGACGGGUGAGUAACACGUGGAUAACCUACCUAUAAGACUGGGAUAACUUCGGGAAACCGGAGCUAAUACCGGAUAACAUAUUGAACCGCAUGGUUCAAUAGUGAAAGGCGGCUUUGCUGUCACUUAUAGAUGGAUCCGCGCCGUAUUAGCUAGUUGGUAAGGUAACGGCUUACCAAGGCAACGAUACGUAGCCGACCUGAGAGGGUGAUCGGCCACACUGGAACUGAGACACGGUCCAGACUCCUACGGGAGGCAGCAGUAGGGAAUCUUCCGCAAUGGGCGAAAGCCUGACGGAGCAACGCCGCGUGAGUGAUGAAGGUCUUCGGAUCGUAAAACUCUGUUAUCAGGGAAGAACAAAUGUGUAAGUAACUGUGCACAUCUUGACGGUACCUGAUCAGAAAGCCACGGCUAACUACGUG